GGUCUCUCCUCCCAGGAUAAAAAACAGCUGAUGACUCAAUUCUGAGCAACCCUUCAGCCAACCCGAGCUCCUUCUCUCUUUUGGCUCCUCUAGUACCUUGCCUGCUUCCAGACUCCAGCUGUUUACUCCCUCUUUCCAGGCUGCCAUCCUUUUAGAGCUUUCUGAGUGGAGUUCCCUCCUGUAGACCUCAGGCUUUUGUCUCCAAGGCUCAGCUCAGAUCUAUCUGAUACAAAUCCUUUGUGUGAGCUUUUCUGGUUUCCAUCUGUGCCUGGAGCUACUUUGCCUUCCCAGACCAUGGAGCUGUCUGUUCUCCUGCUCUGGUAUUGCCUCACUGCUGCUUGGAUCAAGCUGUGCUCCCAUGUGCAGACUGUCUGAGAUCGGGAGUAGAAGUUACUUUAUGAAAACCAGGCGACUUAUAAAAUUAGACAGUCAAAAAUACAGGCAGUUAUAACACA